CCCAGCAGCGCGAGACCCUCGCCAGGCUCUGAAGACGCGGCCUGGCCCUGGCCGUUCGGCCCUUCGUCUGAGCGCAAAGGCUCCAGCACCUCCGCGGCCGAAGCCGCGGGACUUUUCGUGGAAAAUGGGACCCAGCCCGAUCGCCAGCGGCGCUGCAGCGGACUCUGCGGGAACCUAGCUUCUGCUCCAGGACCUCCAGGGCCACCCCAGCUCGCAGGGCGUUCGCAGCGGCUCAGGGCGAAUCACGCUCAUGGUCCCCGUGCGCAUUUUCAGCCCCAGCCGGGGAGGGACCCAGAGCUGGAGGCUUAGCCCUGGAGAUACCGGUGAAGAUGGAUGAAUGAGAAACCAGUUGGAGCUUCCAAGGCCUGUCGUCCAUCAGGAGAAGCAAAAGGUUUUAUUCUAGAGACAAGUCCUUCCAACUGUACAGCUGAUGGAGUAGCCAAGGAAACCUGGACAGGAGGUAGCUUCUGACCUUUGGGAGCCAGAAGGGCCAGUAAAUGGAUUCUCUUCUCGGAGGCCUCCGCUAUCCACGUCACCUGAGGUGUCUUGGGGUCUUUCCAGAGACACAUAGAAGGUGCCAUCUAUGAGGAACAGGCCUUCACCAGACAUCAAAUCUGUUGGCAUCUUGAUCUUUGACUUCUCCACCGCCAGAACUAGAUCAAGACAUGAAACCCAUGUUCAAGAUACUUUCCAGUGUGUCUUCAUGUGAUCCUCUGAGUCCAGCCAUCAGGCUACCAGCAGCUCUUGGAAACCCUGACAUACUUAUUCUUAGAAGACUGCUUUCCGGACUCAAAGUGGAACCUCAAAUUUUCAAUUUUCUUUGUUUUUAAAGCCUACACAUAGAUUACAUCCUUCAUUUGAAGAGACUCUAAUGGAAGGCUGCCAUGGAAACUCUCUCAUGUGGCUGACCUCCUACCUCACUUGCUCUUUCUGAAUGAAGUUCCCACUUUUGCCUGCCUUAAUGAAAGUAAUGCUCCCCAAACUCAAGCCCAGGGCUGCGAAUUGGAAGCAGCUGGGGCUACUGUUUCUGGGUGCUGGUGUGAAUGGCAGGAUGUGAACACCAGCCUGUGACGGGCAAAAAGAUGGACACACAGGCAGAGCCUGACAGGUGCUGGUGGUCCUAUCUGGUCCUGAGUUGCUGGGACCCUCCUUGCCCACUGCCCCUAGAAUGGACUUUGGCCUCAGGUUCGAAGUGUUCAGAUGUGACUGAGAUGAGCCUUUUCCCCAUGCCUCAGGAAUAGCGAAGAAACUCUAUCUGGAAGGUUCCCCAGGCUUCCCCACCCAGCAGCCUCUGGUAUUAGACCAGGCAGUGGCUGGCCAGGAUGGUGGGGACAGAAGGGAGACAAAGGUGAGCAGUGGGUGGGGUCACAUCCUCCCUGACAUUGAAUAGACAACAUGGGGAGGAAGGAUGAGUGAUCUUUAGAAUGUUCAUGGAAAAUGCAUAUUGGGAAAAAGAAUGCAUGAAUUUCAAAUUGUUUUGCAACAAAAUAAACUUGUACUAACUUGUGAAAACACGUCCGAACAGGAUCUAGUUUGAGGCCCUAAGAAGUAUAAGACAACAGUUUGAACAGAGCUCCUAUCAGACACAUGAAUUCUGCUAAAAUUGAAACCAGAACAAACAUGCAAUUGAUGGUGAAGCUUGGCUGGAAACAUGGUGAAAUCAUUGAUGAUUUAUUGAAAGUUUAUAGGGACAAUGCCUCAAAGAAAUCAGCAAUUUAAGUAAGUGGAUAACUCAUUGGAAGAAGAGAAGAGAUGAUGUUGGAGAGGAAGUCCACAGCAGCAGGCCAGCCACAUCAGUCUGUGAGGAAACAAUUCAUCUUGUUUGUGCCCUAAUUUAAGAGGACUGAUUAAUAGCAGCAGAAACAAUAGCCAACGCUGUAGGUAUCCCAAGGUGUUCAGCUUACACAAUUCUGACUGAAAUUAAAGUUGAGUAAACUGUCCACUCGGUGGGUGCCAAAACUUUCUCCCAGCUCAGCUGCAGAUAAGAGAAAAGCGUUCUAUGGCCAUUUUAAACAAGUGGAAUCAAGAUCCUGAAGCAUUUCUUCAUAUAAUUAUAGCCGGAGAUGAAAUGUGGCUUAACCAGUACACUCCUGAAGGCAAAGCACAAGCAAAGCAAUGACUACCUAGAGGUGGGCGUGGUCCCAUCAGAGUAAAAGCAGACAUGUCAAGGGCAAAGGUCGUGGCAACCGUUUUGUGAAUGCUCAAGGCAUCUUGCUUAUUGACUUUCUGGAGGGCCAAAGAACAGUAACAUCUUAUUAUGAGAGUGUAUAGAGAAAGUCAGCCAACGAUUUAGCAGGAAAACACCCAGGAAAUCGUCACCCCGGAAAGCUUCACCAGAGAGCCCUUCUCCACCAUGACAAUGCUCCUGCUCAUUCCUCUCAUCAAACAAGGCCAGUUUUGUGAGAGUUUCAAUGGGAAAUCACUAGGCAUACACCUUCCAGGCCUGAUUUGGUUACUUCUGUUUUAUAAUUUUAAAAAAUCUUUAAAGGGCACCCACUUUUCUUCAGUUAAUAACGUCACAAAGACUGAAGUGGCAUGGUUAAAUUCCCAGGGUGCCCAAUUCUUUAGGGAUGAACUGAAUGGCUGGUACCAUUACUUGCAGAAGCGUCUCGACCUUGAUGGAGCUCAUGCUGAGAAAUAAAACAUUUUUUAAUUUUUAUCUUUUAAUUCAAUUUUUUCGUGAACUUUUGAAGUCCCCUUGUAUUUGUUUUUGGUGGAACUUUGAGUCUGAUUUCUCAGCUCCCCAUGGAUGGCUGCAUCUUAACAGAGAAAUGAACGCCAUUUACCCUGAUGCUCUCUACUUGGCCUAAGUUUCAGAUGUUGAACACACACGUGUGGGAAUUUAUGAAUCUGUGCACCUGUGCCAGCUGGUGGGUGAAGUCUAAGUUUCUUCAACACAAUUAGUUAUCUUCUGCCUCCUGGAAUCUGGUAGGAAAGGUUGAGGAAAAGCAGCCAUCCACAGCGCCUCCACCACUGGAAUGGGGGCAGCCCUAACGUGUGCCCCACUGCCCCCCAUGCUGAGGAGUCCUUCACUCCAGGGAUGUCUUCACCCCAAUCAUUCAGACUCCCCCAGUGUUCCUGCGUCACCUGAAAGGUCGGAAGCAUCUCAGCACAUACUCUCCAUGAGUGGUACUUAGGCCUCCCUCCCCAUCAAUACUGAAGCCCUCAGAGGCAGAGGGGAGUCAAGGAAAAGAGUGGCCAUCAGCAAUAAAUGAGUUACAAGGUUUGAUUUCAAAGAGAAAAACUUGUCACCAAAAUCACUACUCAGGAGAUCUGGACUUCCUCUGAAUGUGAGUUAAAGAACCCUUGAGGGUUAAGAGCCAACUGCACCUGAUCCCCACUCUCCCAUCCCAAGACCCUGGGAAGUCAAACCAAGAGGUAAUCAACAGAAAACAAGUUUAAUGCAACAGGUGACAACGGUCUGGAGCGAGUCCAUGCUCCGGAAGGCUCAGUCUGUGGCAGUCCCGUGGCUCAAGACAGGCUGAGGCCGGCUGCAAUGGAGGCCAGCAGCAGGAGGAUGGCCAGCCACAGCCCACCACAGCUCUCACCCAUGCUCCCAGCAUAUUCUUUGAACACUGAUGAGUUGAUAGGUGGCCCCUCUAAAUUGCAGUAGCGAAUUUUACAACACUUGAGGUAAAAGAAGGGCAUGGGCUCUUCCAGGAGAAACCGCUUCUCCUCUGGCUUGGGUCUCUCCAUCGCUGCACAACCAGCGGAGCACUGCUUCGCAACCAUGAAAAAACGUGGAAAUAUUUCUAAUAGGAAAUAAAGACCGAGAGAAGGCAAUCACGCAAUUCCAAUGCCUGACACCGAGGCCCUUCUGUCUGGGUCAAAGCCUCACCCCUGGCGGCCCUGCUCAAAGGUGCACAGUCAACUGGGGCACCAAGGGGGAGUCGGGAGGACGAGGGCCAGGCCUGUGUGUUGAAUGCUGCUUCAGGGAAGGGCUGGCUUCUGCGUGGUAUGGCCUGUCCAUAUGCACUGGGAAUGCGGGUCUAGGGGUUGCUGUUUGGGAACAAACAGGUCUCAACUUCUCAAACACAGGGUUGGCUCAGGCCUUUGUGACCACAGACAGACACAUGACUCCCAGCCAUUCUGGCCAUCACCCAGGGUGUGGAGCUGGCCUCUUGGUGGGCCUGGCUCGACUCUGAGCUGGGGGUCUUGUCUCAUGACCACACUUCAUCUUAUACAUCACUGUACAAAUCAUUUUGCCAUAUUAAGUUAUAAAGUCGAUGUGGGCCACACUGAGUCUGAAGCAUC
ensembl:lncRNA LNCOC1 lncRNA associated with ovarian cancer 1